UAAGUGCCUCUUUGGAGGAAUAAUAGGGAAUCCGGUUAGAAUCCGGAACGAUUCGGUCACUGUAAGUGGGGAGCCUGCUGCAAAAUGCCAUUGUCCACAAGGACGAGAAGGUGCAGCAGAGCGUUGAGCCGCAAGUCAGGAAACCUGCUUGGAAG
rnacentral:ncRNA from 1 species